GCAGAAGGAGCCUCCAUGGGGCUGUAGCGGGAAGGGCACCAGGGCCUUCCACAGAAGCCACCACAGCCUCUUUGGGACACGUCCCAUUGGUGGCUGUUUAUUGCAUAUAUUGCAUGUAUAUUCUUACAAAAGAAAGGCCUUAUAAAACCAUGGUCAGGCUUGCUGCUUCAGCUGGGUACAGCUAACAGCUAGCCUAACAAGUUCCUAUGAGAAAGGAAUUGCACCUGUGAAAAUAGAGGACCCAUAAUCAUAUGAAGCAUCUUCCCAGGAGACAAGAAUGUAAACAUCUCUUAGAGAAGAAAGUUGACUUUCACAGGACAAUUAGAUUCUUAGAGAGAUAAACUGUCAAAUUUC